GAAUGGUCUUCCUUGAUUUUUUUUUAUUUUUUUUUUUUUGCAAGAGUAGGUAACUAUGACAACCUGGUGUAAGCAACUGUAUCUCUUCAUCCACAGACUGCCCGGUAGGAGGCAGGGAGAAAAAAGACUAAGCACCUUUUCAUUUGCUCAUUCUGCUCCUUCCUGUAGGCAAGAACCAGCCUCAUGCCCUCCAGAAAGCAUGGCCAAGCGCCCCAGCACACCGUGACUCCAAAUGAUGAGCAAAGAUUAAAAUAAAUCCUAGCAAAACAAAGAUCUGCCUCUGCGGGCUCUUGCCGUGUCACUUCUGGCUCCAGCCCAAGUGUUCCUAGCAAAGCACCCGCACCUGUAUCACGGGCAGCCACACUUCCUCCCAGCUAUGAGAAGUUUGUGCUGCAUAGAUAGGAGAUGCCAAUUUGAACAGUUAUUAAAGUUAUUUACGGCCCAGUAGUGUCAGACUAUUGCUGGCCAGCACUCGGAGCGCUGCUCCCUAAUGGGAUUUGGACCUCAUCUAGCGUUCAAAGGAGCCCAGGAGCCCCCGCUUUACACAAAGCAGGCUACCUCUGAUCACCCAGUUGGUAGCAUUAACCUCUGUGAGGGAGCUCAAAACAGUUGCCAAGUUCAUGUGGGCCCAGAAACCUCUGUUGCAGACUGGAGCGAGAUCCGAGCGAGAUCUUAGCAGGAAAUACGUGGCACUGCUGCACGCAGGAGGCGGUCAGCAAUAUCUUGCCUUUGUGAGAGAGGGGAGGAAUCCAGGCAACGGGAACUGGAAGGAAUUGCUUCGCGUGGAGGCAAAAAUCCAAUUUGCCCUGUUCGAGGGAGGAAAUCACAGGCUGGAAACAGCUUGGGACUGGGCCACUGGCUCAGAAGGAGCAGAAUACUGCCCGUCACCUGCGUGCCCACCAGCUCUCUGCCUUUGCAAUGGUGCAGCAGCUGCUGAGCCAGCCCACUGCGAGGUCCUGCAAGGGAAGUGGGAUAAGUGAGGAGCAAACGUGGAGUUAAACUUCUUCAGUUAUAUGCUAGAUUACCAUCAACUGCUGCAAGGCAGCCUACAGCUUUACCAUUACGUGUUCUCUAUGAGGUUCACAGAUAAUGAUGAAAAUCCAUCAACAAAAAAAUUAUUGGGAGCCAAGGUGUGCACUUGCUGAAGACCCUACAGAGGUCACCUCUGUGUGUGUAUUUGUGUGUAUUUUCACAAGAAGACUACAUCUGACCAUUCCAGGGAUUUUAAGGAUUUAUACCCCUCAGCCUGGCAAAGAUACAAAGACCACAGGGAGUUUCCAUGACACAGUAGAGGCAUCAGGGAAGAGACCUCAGCUGCAUCAAGAGUCUCCAUGGGAAUUAGCACCAUCUGCUCCACACGGCGGAGAAGGAGGGGGAAAGGGAAGGGAUGGGCAGCGCACACCAAGACGCGGUAACACGCCGCAUCUCUGCCGGGCAGAGCUGCUCACCACAGGUCAGCAGCGCCACUGAGAAGAAAAACAGGCAGCAAAGGAUUUCCUCUAAGAAGGAACAUCAGGUGCACAUAAAUACUACACAAAAAUAUACAUGGUGGUGAUCAGGAAUACAGAAGGAGAAUGAUCCCACUCGUUUCCUGGUGUACGCUGGCACACUUCCAGCAAGGUCCAUAAGGUGACCAAGAUUUACAACAGCGUGAGGAUCUGAUCCAAUGAGCUAAUUUUCUCGUAUUGCUGCGUUAUGAAUUUGGCAGAGUAAGUUCCCACUAAGGGUGCUGUCACCGUGACUUUAUUUGGAAUCAGCAGCACUGGUACAGAGGUUCCCCAGUCGGUGUAGACGUGGUGUUUACACCAGAAAAGGAGAACCUACAGAGGUCACAUUUUGUUUAAUGGAAAGAACACAACUCUCUACACACAGAGCCAAAUGUUAUUAGCCUUGCUUACUUGAGUAGUUCCAGGAUUGCCAAUGAGAGCAAGGCACCCCAAAAAUCCUAGUCUUGCUCUCCUGAAAAGUUAAUGCGAUUAGUCACAUGAGUAAAAUAUGCAAGAUUUGUCCCUUAAUGCUGAGCAAGCUAGAUGAACACUGAGUGCUCAUCCAUAAAUUAGUUACUCUGGAUGCUAUUUAAAUACAAAUAGCAAAUAAGUGAUGAUAACAGUUAUGUAUCUGAUGCUGGGUCCCAGCUGCCACGUGGGAGUUUGAGCAUUCUUCACUAUCAGGCAUCCGACAGCCAAACACUUUUGUUUGCAAUUUUAAAUGGCUGUACUGUGUUAGGACUGUUAGCAUCUCCAGAUAGUCCAAAGAAACUUGAAGAAGUUAUAAACCUGCAGAAAGAUCUGCUCAUUACUUCUGUCCCCUGAAUGUCUUUCUGUAAGUAUCCAGUUAAAAUAUAGAUCUUUCUCAUCUGUUUCAGGAAGCGCGCCAGCCUGCACAGACCAAAGUCUGAUUCAGCUUAAUGUAAGUCAUGUGAAAGGAACAGAAAAAGUAAAAUGUCACAAAGAACUUCAUUUUUGGAAAGCUUGAUGGCACUGCACAAAAUACCAGCCUGGUCAUUCUUUGAAUUUGAGUUACCAAAUACUAAUUAAAAAAAUAAAAACUAGAUCUCAGUUUCAAGAAAAGGCCUAUGUCAAAUAAAUAAAAGUAUAUGCACAAUGGACCUUGCUGCAUCUUGUUGACACAUCCCUUCUUCAUUAUGGAUUUGAAAAAUGUAAUGUUAAGCUAAACUAUCCAAUUCUACAAGCCAUUUCUUGUUGUUUUUUUUUUUGAAUUCCAAAUCCAACUACCACUAGAGUCUGUAGAAGGGCCAAAGGAGACAACCUGUCCAUUCAAACAUGGCCACAGGUUGAAAGAGCACUUUGAAACACCAUGGGUUGCUGCAGGGAGAGCAGCAGUGCUCAACGGAGCAACAGGAAGGCUGCUGGAAGUGGAGUAGCUGCCAUGCCAGUCAGCGUGUCUAGGUGGGGAUUGCUUCCCUAGCCACUGACAGCGAUCUUAAGAUCAGGUUUUCUCUCUGGUGUUAAAACACCUAUGGCUCUGAGGGAAAUAAAACAGGAUGUAAACACACAAUGUGCCGAAAUCAGCCAAGGGAUCUAGAGAAUGGUUCACAUGCCAAAAAACUCUAGUGCUAGAAACCAAGUGAACGAGGGAAAGCCCUCGGGCAGAGUCCGGAAAUUGAAGCAUACCAACUGCUUUUCUCCCUGCUACUUCAUAUCUUACACAAAACAGUCUCUCGGCUUAAAAGACAAAUACAAAGACGGCUGAUACUGGUAAUUUGACCAGCCAGAGAACUAAACUGUGCUACUUGCCAUGUUUGGGUUGCUCUGAAACACUUCAGAAGCAGUUAUGAAAUCACGCUAAACUUCAAGGAAUGCCAGAAAUGAAACUUCAGGUUGGCCCCAGUUUUCCAGGCUGGCCCCAGUCUGUGCAGGGGGAGAACCCAAGCCCUGCUAAAGAAGCGAGAUACUAGUACUACGAUUCAAGGUUAUCUUUAGCUCCAGCAAACUGAGAACUAUUUUCUGGUUAUCAAAAUAGUGCAUGCAUAAAUGAGAGAAACAGGAUGUGGCAAAACGACCAGAAUCGUUUAAAUUUUAUUCUGAAUCAGGACUCUGCCAGCCUCCACACCGUAUAUGGAACAUUUCCCCUGCAGGUGCAACAAGUUUCUGUAGGAUUUGCUCUUGCAUGUAGCAUCCCACAUACUAAUAUUUUAAUAGAUGCAACGGCUGAUUAGUUGAAUUGUAUUUUCCGGUGUGGGGGGCAGGGAGGAGAGAAGGAAGAAGAGGUGGAGAAAAGAUACGUAAACUGCAGGUUUAGGGGGGGGUUCUUCCCCUCUUGGAGGCCCAGCUGUGCAAACCAUAUGUGGUAAUAUAACAAACCACCUGGCCAAAUCAUAAGCAAGUUAGAGUAAGAGUUUGAGGGAGAAAGGCAUGAGACAUUUCACAAGGGAAUAGACCAUUCUCAAAGAGGGAUGGGAGAAUUGAUUUUCAUGACAGGAGAUAAAGCACAGCAGAUAAAAGCAGAUACUGUUUGAUCUGCCCAACAGAAAACACAAACUGGAAAAGUGACCUAGCUGAAGGAGCCAGGGAGCAGGCCACGGGAGCGACAGCCAGGCAGGUGCCGCUCCAGCAGCACAAAGCGAGGAGAUCCAAAUGGCCUCUCCGAAGGGCACAGGGGCGUCACUCGCUCUGUACAAACAGUAGGUCCCCACCUCAGUCUCCACAGAGGACCUAAUCUUUAGCAGCCACUCUAAACUAAGUUGCAUGCAGUGGAGUAUGUAUGUUCCUAAGAGAGCCUUGUCAGCAGGAAAAGGACAUUAAUCAUUUGUGUUCGCCAGACCCAAUGUAAAAAGUGGAUGGUUUCACAGACAGCCCUUUCCACAGGUACUUCCUCCGUCCUGCCAGGCAUAUCUGAAGGUUUUACUUCCAUGACUACUGAAAAGCUUCUAUAAGCCCAGGCCAUGUGAUGAAGAUUUAACCGAUUUGUUGAUCCAUAAAUGAUUUAGCUGAAGGCAGUUAUUCUCUGCCCACUAGACUCCCUGUGACCCCCUGCCCUCAAUGUAGUUUGGGUUCAUUUGGGUUUGGAAGCAGGAUUGUCACUACCGUUAUGAAACACUCUGUGAACAAAUGCCCCC